GGUGGCUCAGUGGUAGAGUGUUUGCCUCCUAUGCAUGAGGCCCUGGGUUCAAUUUCUCAGCACCA
rnacentral:tRNA from 1 species